rnacentral:lncRNA from 1 species
AUUAAGCCAACCUCCUUAGACCAAUUUAUUGUGGUAAUAUUAAUAAUGCAAUAUACAAUGAAUAUUCUCGAAAUUGCCAAGCACAAAACAAUAAUGAAAUAACACCGGGAUUUAUGUAGUUCCCAUCCAAUGCGGAGAGUACAUCUACGGCAGCAGCGACAACUACGAGCACUUCUUCACUAUAACAAGGUAGCUACAAGGUGAU